rnacentral:misc_RNA from 1 species
GACGAAGAACGUAGCGAAAUGCGAUACGUAAUGUGAAUUGCAGAAUUCAGUGAAUCAUCGAAUCUUUGAACGCACAUUGCGCCUGCCAGCACUCUGGCAGGCAUGCCUGUUCGAGCGUCAUUUCAACCAUCAAGCCCUAGGCUUGCGUUGGAGCCCUGCGGCUGCCGCAGGCCCCUAAAAGCAGUGGCGGGCUCGCUAUCACACCGAGUGCAGUAGAUUACUCUUCGCUCAGGGCGUGUGGCGGGUUCCAGCCGUGAAACCCCCUACUUCUCAAGGUUGACCUCGGAUCAGGUAGGAAUACCCGCUGAACUUAAGCAUAUCAAUAAGCGGAGGA